CUGGGUGCGACUCCAUGGCCGCCACUGCCUCCUCGUGGCCAGUGCGGUGCAAUGAGGCGCCGAGGUGAGAGCUGCUGGUGAAGGUUCCUAUUCAGAAGUUUCCAGUUUGCAGCACCCAUUUUGAAAGUCCAAGUUAUAUCUUACCUGCCUGAAUCCUGGCUGAAGAAACAACGUCUGAGCCCUGUGAAGUGAUGCUGUGUAGCAUGAAACGUGCUUCUCCUGGAAAGUAAGCUUCUUUCUGGAGGCCCAGAGAAGCCAAAAACUCAGCACGUGAUGGUGAAUGCUGUGAUGAGCGAUCUGGAUACCUCCUGAGGAAUCAAGGACUGAAUCACCCAGCUGGUGAGAAUAUUGUCUGAAAGCAACCUUCAGCUGACCUCCCUCCUCGGGGCGCCUCUGCUGGAGAGAAAGGCCUCACCUGAAGUCGUGCCUCCGGCGAGCGGCCCGCGCCCGUGACUGGCCGGGUGAUCAACUGCCCUGGGAUGAGGGAGCUUCAGUACUGAAAGCUCAUCCGAAAGAUCAUCUUCCCUCUGGAGCUCCCAUUCCAUUUGCAUCCUGGUCUGAGCCUGUAUUUGGUGUCAGACCUCAUCUCAAUGUCUGCUUCCCUGAGGACCCAGCUAACUCAGUGGCCAUACGUGGCCAUGUGUAGGGAUUGAAGAGGAGGAAACUGGUCUAUAUAGAGACAAGAAAAGAAGACAGGAGGAUGGGAAGUUGUUCCCUCUGAGGGAAUCCAGCCACCAUCCCACAUUGGGAGGGACGGAGGCCUCCUUCCAAUAGCCGGCACCAUGCGAGUGAACCUUUCUUGAAGAGAAUGCUGCAGCUCAGUGAAGUCUCCCGAUCACUGCAGCCCUGAUGGCAUCUUACCUGCAACCUCACGGGAGAACCCGAGACAGAACUACCUGGAUUCCUGAUCCACAGAAACUAGGAUGUUAAGUGUUUAUUGUUUUAAACCACUAAAUGUUGAAAUAAUUUGUUACACGGCAAUUGAUGAUUACAGGAGUCCAGGUUUUUUCUUAGUUUUGUAUCAUUACUUUCUUUCCUUCUGUCUAUCCACCAAAUAUGCUAUAACAAUAGUGUUUUUUAGGAAUCAUUCUUCAUACAGUAAUGGAAAGAUCUAUUCCUUUCUGAGAUCACACAAAGUAUUUUUCUAUUCAUGUUUGCCUCUGGAAGAUGAAAGAGCCACAGUAGGCAAACAGUAGCUCCGCAGAGGGACUCUUCAGGGACCAGAGAGGAAGCACAGCUGGAGCCCAGUGGCGUUCAUCCCAGUCACCAGGAGAGAAAUUAACAAGGCACCUCAGUCAAGGCCAAUCUGCGGACAAAAUGAGGUUCUGCUUAAGAAAAUCAUGCCUCCAGUUUACACUGCCCAGAAGGACCUGGCCUCAAAAAUCAGGUUUGGUUUAAGAAUUAAAUGAGGGGUGCAGAAGCAGGAGAUGCACCAUAUGGGCAGUCAUUACUGGGGCAAAGCAAGAGGAAGUGGCUGUGUUCUAUCCAGGCUUUCAAAUUCUGCUGUCCACCUCUGCCUGGCCCUGCAGCUUUAGCCCAACCUGUCCCUACAGGCAACCCAGCAAGAUUCCUCAGUUUCAGCCUUAUCCGCUGAUCCUCAUGAUAUCCCAAAUCAGGAAGAUCUAUGCUUGUUUCUGAGGCCCAGAGGGCCAGCAUAUCUUUCAGCUGCUUUUAUCAGCUAAGUGGCAAGUCAGGGUCCUGCCCUUGUCUCCUGUAUAGCCUCAGCCCUGGCCUCUCUGAGCUCUAACUAGGGCUUUAUAAGCUAUCGUGCAGGAGAAAGCCAGGAAUUCUUUAUUAUUAGUUUUUGUUUUGUAAUGGAGGUACUGGGGAUUGAACCCAGGACCUUGUGCAUGCCAAGGGUGCACUCUACCACUCUGCUAUACCCUCCCCAUCGAAAGUCAGGAAUUCUAAAAGCCCAUCAGCCCGGUUGACCGCAUACAUCUCAAGGACAGAGCUCUAGAUCAUACUAGACCUUGUAGAGGGACCUCUUCACCUUUUCCUCACUAUUCUUCAUUUUGUCUGAUUCUUUACUCAAACCUCUGUUCCCUUUGUUCGGUGCAACUCUGAAAUAAUAGCUAUCUGCAAAGAAUCUGACCUACAAGUUCACAUAUUACAAUUAAACUUAUGUGUACACACAUACACUGAUCUACACACAUGUACACACAUAUAUAUCUGUAUGAGGGUGUGUAAAUGUACAGAGGAAGGAAGUUUAAAGAAGAAAAUAAGUAAAUACUCUGGGUCUUGAUGUAUCUCAUCUGUAGAACGGGAAUGAAACAGGCCAUGUCACAGGGGUUUGUUUUGAGAAUUCAUUGAGAUGUCUACUAACAAAAGGCCUGGCACAUAUUGAUGGCAGAGUAAAUAAAAUAUCAUUAUUUAAAUAAA